rnacentral:rRNA from 1 species
AGGACGAACGCUGGCGGCGUGCUUCACACAUGCAAGUCGAACGGGGCUCAUUCGGUGGUAACACCGGAGAAGGCCUAGUGGCGAACGGGUGCGUAACACGUGAAGAACCUGCCCCGAAGACUGGGAUAACAGCGGGAAACCGCUGCUAAUACCGGAUGACCCCACCAGGCCGCAUGGCCAGGUGAGGAAAUGGGCCUACCGCUUCGGGAGGGCUUCGCGGCCUAUCAGCUUGUUGGUGGGUAACGGCCUACCAAGGCUACGACGGGUAGCUGGUCUGAGAGGACGACCAGCCACACUGGGACUGAGACACGGCCCAGACUCCUACGGGAGGCAGCAGUGGGGAAUCUUGCGCAAUGGGCGAAAGCCUGACGCAGCAACGCCGCGUGAGGGAUGAAGGUCUUCGGGUUGUAAACCUCUUUCGAGCAGGGACGACUGUGACGGUACCUGCAGAAGAAGCUCCGGCCAACUACGUGCCAGCAGCCGC